rfam:Danio rerio chromosome 4, GRCz11 reference primary assembly.
GCCUGGAUAGCUCAGUCGGUAGAACAUCUGACUUUUAAUCUAAGGGUCGAGGGUUCAAGACCCUGUUUGGGUG